CUUAUGUAAAUGUGCGACACUGAGAUGACAAUACUCAAUUUCUUUCAGCUCCCGACGUAUGAUUAAAAGUCUUAACAAAGACCAUCGGACAUAUAUUUUAGAAACGUGUAAGACUCCAAUCCAGGAAGUUCAGUCCAGAGCAAUGGAUAUAUGUGAAAGUUGUUUCAGAGUGGCAUCCUUGAAAUGUCCUGUGAACAAAAGACCUUCAAAUUGGAUUGAGAAGACAAGGACACCAACAGAGUCAAAUCACCAAUUGAAAAGCAAAGCAAAAAGAUGUACAUCUUUCCAAAGCAAGAGGACUGGUACAAAUUGGACAGAUGAUGAAAAACGAAUUUACAGGGAUAAAAGAAUAGCUCGAACUCAGGAAAUACUACAGUACUUACUCCCUAUCGUGGAAUCCUCUAAAAGCAUGAAAUCUACUCAAAUGAACAAUCUAGUCAAUCCAAGAGCAAACUUCCAACAGCAUGAGUAAGUCAAUGGUGUUUCUCGUGUUUACCUAUGUGGUGCUGGGAUCAAGCCCAGGCCCUUGUGUAUGCUAUGCAAAUGUUCUCCCUCCAAGCCACCCCUAUCCUGUUCCUUACUAUUUAAUACAGUUUUAUAAGGAAGCACAGCUUGUUAGUCUGGUGCCUUUAGGAACAAACAUAGGCACCUUAAAACCGCAUAAACUACAUCACAAACCCAAGGUCAUAAUUCUUUAUCUAGUAUGUAAAGGGCUGAGUUAUCAAGGGUGAUUUGACUAUUACUUGUAUAGAAUACUCUAGUGUGUGUAUAUGAAGAAAGUAGCAUAAAGAAGCUAACUAU
rnacentral:lncRNA from 1 species